CCUACGGGAGGCAGCAGUGGGGAAUUUUGGACAAUGGGCGCAAGCCUGAUCCAGCCAUGCCGCGUGUGGGAAGAAGGCCUUCGGGUUGUAAACCACUUUUGUCAGGGAAGAAACGGUCUGAACUAAUACUUUGGACUAAUGACGGUACCUGAAGAAUAAGCACCGGCUAACUACGUGCCAGCAGCCGCGGUAAUACGUAGGGUGCAAGCGUUAAUCGGAAUUACUGGGCGUAAAGCGUGCGCAGGCGGCUUUGCAAGACAGAUGUGAAAUCCCCGGGCUCAACCUGGGAACUGCAUUUGUGACUGCAUGGCUAGAGUACGGUAGAGGGGGAUGGAAUUCCGCGUGUAGCAGUGAAAUGCGUAGAUAUGCGGAGGAACACCGAUGGCGAAGGCAAUCCCCUGGACCUGUACUGACGCUCAUGCACGAAAGCGUGGGGAGCAAACAGGAUUAGAUACCCUGGUAGUCCACGCCCUAAACGAUGUCAACUGGUUGUUGGGAGGGUUUCUUCUCAGUAACGAAGCUAACGCGUGAAGUUGACCGCCUGGGGAGUACGGCCGCAAGGUUGAACUCAAAUGAAAUUGACGG
rnacentral:rRNA from 1 species